AUACAUAGGGGGCAAGCGUUAUCCGGAAUUAUUGGGCGUAAAGCGUGAGCAGGCGGUUAAUUAAGUCUGAGGUUAAAGCGUGGGGCUCAACCCCAUAAAGCCUUGGAAACUGAUUGACUAGAGUACGGGAGAAGUGAAGGGAACUCCAUGUGUAGCGGUGAAAUGCGUAGAUAUUAGGAGGAACACCAGUGGCGAAGGCGGCCUUCUGGACUGUAACUGACACUGAGGCACGAAAGCGUGGGUAGCAAACAGGAUUAGAUACCCUGGUAGUCCACGCCGUAAACGAUGAGCACUAGGUGUCGGGCUCGCAAGAGUUCGGUGCCGGAGCAAACGCAUUAAGUGCUCCGCCUGGGGAGUACGCACGCAAGUGUGAAACUCAAAGGAAUUGACGGGG
rnacentral:rRNA from 1 species